GACGAACGCUGGCGGCGUGCUUAACACAUGCAAGUCGAACGGAAAGGCCCUGCUUUUGUGGGGUGCUCGAGUGGCGAACGGGUGAGUAACACGUGAGUAACCUGCCCUUGACUUUGGGAUAACUUCAGGAAACUGGGGCUAAUACCGGAUAGGAGCUCCUGCUGCAUGGUGGGGGUUGGAAAGUUUCGGCGGUUGGGGAUGGACUCGCGGCUUAUCAGCUUGUUGGUGGGGUAGUGGCUUACCAAGGCUUUGACGGGUAGCCGGCCUGAGAGGGUGACCGGCCAGAUUGGGACGGGGAUAGGGCAGGGCGGACUGCGGGGGGGAGCAGUGGGGGAGAGAGCACAAGGGGGGGAAGCCUAACGCAGACACGCCGCGUGAGGGAGAAGGGGAGGCGGGGUGUAAACCGGUUUCGCCGGUGACGAAGGGGGAGGGAGGGUAAGUGGUAAAGAAGAACAGGAUAACGAGGUG
rnacentral:rRNA from 1 species